rnacentral:misc_RNA from 1 species
GCAAACUUGGUCAUUUAGAGGAAGUAAAAGUCGUAACAAGGUUUCCGUAGGUGAACCUGCGGAAGGAUCAUUAAAGAGUCUGAUCCUCGGAUCUACUCCCACCACAUGUCUACCUCGACCGUUGCUUUGGCGGGCCGGCCUUCGGCCCCCCGGCUGCCGCUGGGGAGCGCCCGCCAGAGGAUCUUUAAACUCUGUUCAAAACUUGCACUCUGAUGUCGAAAACAAAUAAAUCAAAACUUUCAACAACGGAUCUCUUGGUUCUGGCAUCGAUGAAGAACGCAGC